rnacentral:rRNA from 1 species
UACGUAGGGAGUGAGCGUUGUCCGGAAUCAUUGGGCGUAAAGAGCUCGUAGGCGGCUUGGUAAGUCGGAUGUGAAACCUCCAGGCUCAACCUGGAGUCGCCAUCCGAUACUGCCAUAGCUAGAGUCCGGUAGGGGCCCACGGAACUCCUGGUGUAGCGGUGAAAUGCGCAGAUAUCAGGAAGAACACCGGUGGCGAAGGCGGUGGGCUGGGCCGGCACUGACGCUGAGGAGCGAAAGCGUGGGGAGCGAACAGG